AAACCAGAAUGCUAUUUGAAGGUAAAAUCUAUUUAAUUCCUCUUCCAUUCACAGUUUCUGGAAAAAGAAGCCACAAAUUUGUGUUAACACUGAACAGUAUCACUGAGAUUACUCUACAAAGCGUCCGCAUUAGAAAUUUGCGUCUGGAUCCUGUGGGCUUUGGAAGGCAUCGCUGCAGAAGUGGGAAAGGGAUAUAAUUUGUCAAGUAAAUUCUCUAGGAUAAAAUUCCUAGAUACCAGCUGACUUUAAUCAAGCAGAGGGCAAUAUCUCAAGUUAGGCGGCUUGCUAGUAAACCCUCUAAUGGAGCUGCUGAGCUGUUGCAAAGGAUCCCAGUGAGAAGGACUGCAAAAGUUGAGAAGGUUGUCAAGCAGAAACUGAGUACUUGGGUGGAAGCAAACCACAAAACCCAUCCACCUCUGUGUCAAGACAGGGAGAGAGUGGGUUUUUCUUUGGGUGGAGCUCAGCCGUGACAGACCAAGUGGGGUACCCACUUCUCUCCAUUGAGGAGCUCAUGGCAGGGGGAGUGCCAAGUAACUAGUCACAAGCCACUCCUGACCUCAAACGCCACUGGAAGUUUCAGAUCUGUCUUAUGCACGUUGGUGAAAUUUGUAAGGAUUUCCACACAGAAGACCAAAAGUCAGUGUCCUGAGCAGUUAAGAGUAGCCCUGUAACCCAACAGAUACAAAUUGUUGUCACUACUAAUGUACCAGAAGUUUCACAUUAGCUCUGUGAGGCCUUUGGACUUGACAGGCUUUGAUUUGGUUUGUCCUGGGCUACCCACAGCUUUGUUUAAGCUGUUUUAGCUGUUAACAGCAGUUUCCUAAUGAUCAAGUGGUCAUUACCUAAUUUGUUUUACUCUUGCUUUGCUUUGUAUAGUCACCUGGUAUAACCAUAAUUUUUAUACAGAUAGCAUUUAACGAGCUGUUAUUUCACAUAGAACUAAACAUUUUCUACAGCAGCAAAAUGACGCGUUAUAAAGGAAUGGUAUCAUAGCAGAAGCCUUUACUGAGGAUGAUGGAGAGCGCAGUAUAGAGUACAGGCAUGGGGUGAUAACAGAAGUAAACUACUAGAACAGGUCAUCAGUGGUCAGCCACGGGCAGUUAAAGAAAUGCAGUCUUGAGAACUGGGUAAACCCCUUUUAGAGUUAAUAAAAAGAACAAGGAAGAAGUGUCCAGCAUACACAAAAUCUCAUGUUCAUGAAAUUUCAUAUUUCCCAUGGAAAAAAAGAGGAAGUAGUACACUGCAAUAGAAGGUAUAUAACAAUAUCCCCAUGUGGUGAGUGAGGAGAAAGAAAAGCCUAUCAUCGGCAUUAUACUCCUCUUGGCAAAGGAAUGCCAAUGACCUGUAACACUGAAGCACAGACAGAACCUUUACAAGCAGGGGAGUAUAGCAGUGGCAAAAGGGGUAGACAUUAGGAAGGGAGUAUAAAAUAUUUUAAACUGUGUCAUCCCGGAAAUUAGUUUUAUAGUAUUAUAGUACAUACUUCUCAAUUUUUAAUGUAAUAAUUUGAUCAAGAAGAUUAAUAAACCUCUUAUUAGAUAGUUGAGAACACUAACUAUAAAUCCUUUGCUUUUUUAAGAAGUUGUGUAUUCUGCCCAUAAUGAGAUUUUAAGUGUAAUAGUGACUAUACUCAUUUCAGGAUUGGAACUGGUACGUAGUUGCUGAUAAGUAAAGAAUUAAACUGGGAGCCAAAGAAGGUCUGUGGGUGGGGUUUGCACCCAGAAAGGUGCAAAUCUACAUGUGUUAAAAAAAAAAUAUAUAUUAUAAAUGGGACUUGAAGAAACCAAAGUGUUUGACAUACAAUGGCUUUUUGCAAUUUGUCAACAGAAAAAGAGCCUUUGUCCUACAACAAGACUUUCAGGAGGUAGCUCUGAAGAACUACCAUCUUCUGUCCUGUGGGGCUGAAAGCAGCAUUGCUCAGUGCAGAAUCAGAGGCAAUAGAAAUUAAAUUAAGAAAAAGAGGAAUUAUGGACCAUGAAUGAAAUAAAAUGACCUUGCUUGUACUGGUAAUUUCCUGCUUAGGGACUAUACUUUUAUUCAUACAGACAAUUGCAUCAGGGUCUACAGAAGCAUCUACUCCAGGCACAAUCAAUGUCCCCUAAGUGAUAGCCUCACUAGCUAUUGUAUUGCUCUAAGAGGUUAAAUUAGGAAGGGAUCUUUCCCAUCUCAGGUGAGUGCUAUGUCCCCAGACUAUUCGCUAUUCUUGAAUAACUCUAUUUUACUUUUCCAAAUUUCCAUAAUUUUUGUUUGUUUCUGUGGGGCUUUUUUUUUUUUUCUUUUUUGUCUCAGUUUCAGUCAGCACCAGAAAAAGUCAGAUUUCAAGAUUUCAGAAAGUUUUCAGUAUUCUCUCCUUACUGAAAUCCAAUGCCAAGUUCAAUUUUUUGCCACAGUUUGACUAAUUCACAGCAGGGAACAGAACUGUAGAAAUGUGGCAUUAUGAUGGGAGGAGUAGGAUACAAUGGAAGAGUUUUAAUUUCUUACUCCUUGGAUUCCAUGUCAGAAGAAGAUUGGCUAUGAGGCCUUUAUAAGACACCCUUCUUGCCAACACAGUUUGCGCCGGGGUAAGAAAACCUCCCUCCAGCACUGGUGGGAGAUGCUGGAUUGUCCCAGAGUAACCAGAAGCACAGGUUGCUGCAAUUUGGGAUGACGGCAUGGUGUCAUCAGCUGGCACAUUUAAAAUACUUACUGUUCAGGUGGAGAGCUCUAGCAGCUAACAAUACUCUUGGUAUAGGUCUACAGUCUUUUUCUUCUCUUUUUCUCAUGUUUUAGUGAUUGUACCAAAGACUGUGUGCUAUAGAUAUAUACACACACUAGCAUAAUUUGGCUGUUGUCAGAAGAGAUGAUGUCAAUGACAAUGUCAAAUCUUUUUUGUUGUGUACUUUAGCAGAGGCUUCAUGACUGUUUCUUUGCUGGCAGUACCACUUAGCAGGAAGAAGAAUACACAGGAGAAUGACAACAAUAGUCAUUUCUGGCAAGGAUAAGUGGCUUUGAAAAUGUUCUUCAGCAGCAGAUGUCCAAGGUUUUAAAUGAGUGCACUGUGAAAACAGAAAAUGAAAACAGCUUGGACGACUUCAUAAAGGAUUACAGAAUGAAGUGUCUAUUUUCUUUCAAGUAAAUGUAUGAACAACUAUAAAUUUAAAGAUGUUUGGUUUAGAAGAGCUAAGAGGACUGCUCAAGAAAGGCUGAUGUUUCCACAUCAUGAAAGUCCAGUGUCAAAGAGAAAGGUAAAAUCAACAAAAGUUAUGAAAAUUUUUAUGUGCAAUUCUCAUCAUUCUUUUUUCCUUUUUGUUAUUAAGUCAUUAAAAACAAUGGUUGCUACAAUAGAAAUAAGUUGUUGUCACAUAUGCAUAGCUGUGGACCAAAGUGAAUGCUUUACAUGUCAUAAUUUCUCAUCCUCAUUUGGAUCUGAAAGUCUCCCCUUAUCAACACAACAAGCCAUGAUCUGUGGAAUUUGCUGAAAUAAUUCUGUUAACCUUAUCUUCCCUUUCCUUUCGCUUCUUCAAUUGCUGCAUAUUCCUUCUUCUUCAUUAGCUGUAUCUG